AUUGAACGCUGGCGGCAGGCUUAACACAUGCAAGUCGAGCGGGGUGAUGGUGCUUGCACUAUCACUUAGCGGCGGACGGGUGAGUAAUGCUUAGGAAUCUGCCUAUUAGUGGGGACAACAUCUCGAAAGGGAUGCUAAUACCGCAUACGUCCUACGGGAGAAAGCAGGGGAUCGCUUGUGACCUUGCGCUAAUAGAUGAGCCUAAGUCGGAUGAGCUAGUUGGUGGGGUAAAGGCCUACCAAGGCGACGAUCUGUAGCGGGUCUGAGAGGAUGAUCCGCCACACUGGGACUGAGACACGGCCCAGACUCCUACGGGAGGCAGCAGUGGGGAAUAUUGGACAAUGGGGGGAACCCUGAUCCAGCCAUGCCGCGUGUGUGAAGAAGGCCUUAUGGUUGUAAAGCACUUUAAGCGAGGAGGAGGCUCUUUUGGUUAAUACCCAAGAUGAGUGGACGUUACUCGCAGAAUAAGCACCGGCUAACUCUGUGCCAGCAGCCGCCGUAA
rnacentral:rRNA from 1 species